CUAGAAUUAGCUUGCGUCAAACAUUCUGCUAAUGAUCUAUAUAUUACCAAUGCCUCAAAAGACCUGCCUAAAUUAAUAUAGACAAGCAUCUCUUAUUAGUAGAUCUUGAAAAUUAUUGAAUCAGUUCAUUGAGAUAAAGCUAGAAAGACCUUCAGAAAUUAUUAGACGAUGCACACAGCUAACAAGUGAACUUGGCAGUCAAAGAUGAAUGAACUAGACAAGGCAAGACCACAUAAAACUCCAUCAACAUCAAGUGUUUAAUUCUUCUAAUACAACACACAUUUUGGUCACUUAAAAUUGCACGAUGAAUAAUUUAGCUCCUGCUCAUGAUAUUCCUCACUUCUUGGUGAUGUUCAAAUCUAAAGUGCUCGUUCCACCAUCACAUCAACCAGAUGCUCACUAUAGAACUGCAUCAACCAGAUGCCCACCGUCCUAGUUUUCCAAGUCCUUGAAAAAUGGCUUCAAAAGCCUGGCAAACAACUCUGACUAAAACCUCCAGCGUGUUUAUUAAUGAGAUCUGCUUCUGCUAAUGUUAAGUUUGGCAACCCAGUAGUCAAGUUGACCAGCAACACAAGCAGAACCUGUGGAACCAUAUGAGCAGAAUUUCUUAACAGCAUUUUCUGCUCCAACGUACUCAUAUACAUCCUCCUCAAAAAUUGGACUUAUACUUCUCAAGUCAUCAAGACUUAGAUCCUCAAGCUGACAGUUCUUUGAAACACACAAGGCAACAGACCUUCCAACUAUAUCAUGGGAAGUUCUGAAAGGCAUUCCCUUCUUCACAAGAUAGUCAGCAAGUGUUGUGGCAUCAAGAUGGCCAGCUGGCAAAGCCUUUUUAAUUCUCGCAUGAUUAAAGGUAAUGUUCUGUGCAAAUUCGGCUGAAACUUCAAGCAUCCCUAUAACUGUCUUCACGCUGUCGAAUACAGGUUCCUUAUCUUCCUGCAAAUCACGAUUAUAAGCAAGUGGAAGCCCUUUGCACAAUGUGAGGAGAGUAACCAGGUCUCCAACGACUCUAGCAGACUUUCCUCGAACAAGUUCCAUGGGAUCUGGAUUUUUCUUCUGAGGCAUUAUGCUGCUUCCAGUUGAAACACAAUCACUUGGUGUGAUAAACCCAAACUCCUCUGAUGCCCACAAAACCCAUUCCUCACCCAGCCGAGAAAGAUGAAUGGCUGUGAUGGAAUUAGCGGAAAGAAACUCCAAGACAAAAUCUCGGUCUGAGACAGCAUCAAUACUACGAAAAAAAAUUAAGCAUAACCAACUACCCAUGGAAGCUAGAUACCAAGAAUUACACAAGAUAAUAGGAUAUAUUAUCUCAAUGAGACACAAAUAAAAUAGUCCACCAAUCCACAGUUGGCAGACUUGGCAGGGACAAUAACUGAUAUCAUAUGGAGACACAGAUAAAAUGUUGCCUUCUCAAAAGCAUUUUAUUUUACCUCUAGAUCUAGUGCUAAAUCAGAUGCAUAAAAAUUAAAAAGUGUGACAAAAAAAAUUGAAAAGCUUUCACAAAGAAAGCAUUAACCAUCAAGCAAAAGCUUGCAAUUAGACCAUCAGAACGAUGCCAUAGAGAAUCAUUACAGAACCAUCAACGUGUAGCCAUAGUUGUAUCACAUGAUGUGUAAGUAAGAAGAGCAAAAGGAAGAAGAGACUUGGGUAUAUAAAUCAGAAACCAAUAACAGAGGCCUUGCCCAAAGAACAACAAAAAAAAAUGCCAUUUCAUUUGCAAUCGAUGCUAUUUUUUAGACUCCCCAUGGACUGAGGAACCAAAAUAUAUUUAUGGUUGUUGCUAGAUGGCCAAAAAUGCCAAAUUUGACAUCACAUAAAGCAAAAUUAUCAAAGAUUGUAUGCAUACCUGUUCCUCAAUGGAGCAGUGAAUCCUAGAGAAUUAGAAGUCAUAAACCUAUCAAUGGGUAGACCAGUGCCAGCCAAUGCACAUGCACCAAGGGGGCAGAAGUUCAGCCUAGCUCUACAAUCGAUCAAACGAUCAGCAUCACGAUCAAGCUACAAGACAACAUCACAGAAAGUUUAAUUUAUCUUCUGUGAAGACACCAGGAGUAAUUUAAAUAAAAUCACUUAAGAAAAGUUUUGGUUUGUAAUAACAAUGUUGGUAAUUUAUUCCAAAGUAAACAAACCUAUAAUUUGAUAUUUAAGGAGUCUAAAGAAAUUUCCAGUUGAAGAUUUUUCCAUGGAUGAUUAUAGGGUGCAUGUCCUUUGCUCUUUUGUUAGCUAACAUAGUAAAUCCUUCUACUGUGAGCUUGGAUCUUAUAAACAUGAAAGAGAUAUUUUCGCCAGCAACUAAAAUCAAUAAGCCCCAAUUACAAAUCCCUGCCAGAUCAUCAAAAUCUUGUUUCUUAGCAAACAAAUGAGCAAGAGCAUUAGAAAAUAAAUAUACAGAAUAAUGAGCACCUGCUCAACAUAAGCCAACAGAAGAUGUGGCAAUAAAACAGGCUGCGCCCGUUGCAAAUGUGUAUAACCAGGAACAAUGAGUCCCUCCUCGUUCAAAGCCAAAGUCACUAGUGCAACUUGUAGAUGUUUGAUAGAUGCAGUGACUCUAUCAAUUGCAUCACGACACCACAAACGAAAAUCAGUCAAAACUUGAUCAUUUCUGCUCCGAGCUGUAUGAAGCUUUUUCGCUGGCUCACCAAUCAUAUCAGUAAGUGCAGCCUCAAUGUUCAUGUGCACAUCCUCCCUGUCUGUUCUCCACACAAAUUCACCAGCUUCAAUGCGUCUCUGAAUCUCAUCAAGACCUUGUAGAAUGCUAUCCCUAUCACUGAUACUUAUCAAUCCCUGUUGGGACAGCAUAGAAGCAUGGGCCUUGCUACCCAUUAUAUCAUGCUUAUAGAGCUGC
rnacentral:misc_RNA from 1 species